AGAGUUUGAUCCUGGCUCAGGAUGAACGCUGGCGGCGUGCCUAAUACAUGCAAGUCGAGCGAACGGACGAGAAGCUUGCUUCUCUGAUGUUAGCGGCGGACGGGUGAGUAACACGUGGAUAACCUACCUAUAAGACUGGGAUAACUUCGGGAAACCGGAGCUAAUACCGGAUAAUAUUUUGAACCGCAUGGUUCAAAAGUGAAAGACGGUCUUGCUGUCACUUAUAGAUGGAUCCGCGCUGCAUUAGCUAGUUGGUAAGGUAACGGCUUACCAAGGCAACGAUGCAUAGCCGACCUGAGAGGGUGAUCGGCCACACUGGAACUGAGACACGGUCCAGACUCCUACGGGAGGCAGCAGUAGGGAAUCUUCCGCAAUGGGCGAAAGCCUGACGGAGCAACGCCGCGUGAGUGAUGAAGGUCUUCGGAUCGUAAAACUCUGUUAUUAGGGAAGAACAUAUGUGUAAGUAACUGUGCACAUCUUGACGGUACCUAAUCAGAAAGCCACGGCUAACUACGUGCCAGCAGCCGCGGUAAUACGUAGGUGGCAAGCGUUAUCCGGAAUUAUUGGGCGUAAAGCGCGCGUAGGCGGUUUUUUAAGUCUGAUGUGAAAGCCCACGGCUCAACCGUGGAGGGUCAUUGGAAACUGGAAAACUUGAGUGCAGAAGAGGAAAGUGGAAUUCCAUGUGUAGCGGUGAAAUGCGCAGAGAUAUGGAGGAACACCAGUGGCGAAGGCGACUUUCUGGUCUGUAACUGACGCUGAUGUGCGAAAGCGUGGGGAUCAAACAGGAUUAGAUACCCUGGUAGUCCACGCCGUAAACGAUGAGUGCUAAGUGUUAGGGGGUUUCCGCCCCUUAGUGCUGCAGCUAACGCAUUAAGCACUCCGCCUGGGGAGUACGACCGCAAGGUUGAAACUCAAAGGAAUUGACGGGGACCCGCACAAGCGGUGGAGCAUGUGGUUUAAUUCGAAGCAACGCGAAGAACCUUACCAAAUCUUGACAUCCUUUGACAACUCUAGAGAUAGAGCCUUCCCCUUCGGGGGACAAAGUGACAGGUGGUGCAUGGUUGUCGUCAGCUCGUGUCGUGAGAUGUUGGGUUAAGUCCCGCAACGAGCGCAACCCUUAAGCUUAGUUGCCAUCAUUAAGUUGGGCACUCUAAGAUGACUGCCGGUGACAAACCGGAGGAAGGUGGGGAUGACGUCAAAUCAUCAUGCCCCUUAUGAUUUGGGCUACACACGUGCUACAAUGGACAAUACAAAGGGCAGCGAAACCGCGAGGUCAAGCAAAUCCCAUAAAGUUGUUCUCAGUUCGGAUUGUAGUCUGCAACUCGACUACAUGAAGCUGGAAUCGCUAGUAAUCGUAGAUCAGCAUGCUACGGUGAAUACGUUCCCGGGUCUUGUACACACCGCCCGUCACACCACGAGAGUUUGUAACACCCGAAGCCGGUGGAGUAACCUUUUAGGAGCUAGCCGUCGAAGGUGGGACAAAUGAUUGGGGUGAAGUCGUAACAAGGUAGCCGUAUCGGAAGGUGCGGCUG
rnacentral:rRNA from 1 species